rnacentral:lncRNA from 1 species
GUAGGUACUUAACUUCUUUGAGGUUUGCUUUUUCAUUUGUAAAAUGCAGGUGAUAAUAAUACCUACCUCACAGAAUUAUUAUGGUGAUGAGUAAGAUCCUAGAUUUAAAGCACUUAGCAGAGUGGGAGAAGGGAGACCUUGAAUUGGCUCUUUUUAACCUACUCCCCUGUUGCAGCCAUUCAGGCUUGUGAGUCAGGGGGUGGGACCUGGGCGUGUACCAGGAGCCCACCCAAGCCAUGGUCCGCACAGACCUGUUGCCCUGAGGGGCCUUCGCAGUAGACACUAGAGCCAGGGAAACUGUGGGCAGAGCCAGGGCAGAGGUGGGCAAAGGAAAAGGAGGAGAGCUUCUUUCUAAACGAUUGGGAGGGACGCAGAGAAGGGAAAGUUUCCUCCUUUAGAACCAAAUUGGAGGAAGAAGAGAAUCCAGCAACACUGAAGAUGGAAGUUCCACAGGAGCCUUCUGCCCUCUGAGUUCUUUUAAACCAAGAAAUAUCAUAGCAAAGAAGGCCCACACCAACACACAACAGUUCUGGAGGCUGGAAAGUCCAGGAUCAAGGCGUCAGCAGGUUCAGUGUUGGCCCUAAGCUGACAUCUGCUGCCAAUCCUCUGCUUUUUGCUGAGGAAGACUGGCCCUGAGGAACAUCCGUCCCCAUCUUUCUCUACUUUAUAUGUGGGACACCUGCCAUAGCAUGGCUUCAUAAGUGGUGGGUAGGUUCACACCCAGGAUGUGAACCGGCAAACUCUGGGUGGAGAAAGUGGAACGUGCAAACUCAACCGCUGUGCCACGGGGCUGGCCCCUGAAUAGAAAUUUUUUUUAAAGUAUUAUUUCAAUUGUUGCUGGUAGAUAAAAAUGUUAUGGACUUGAGUAUGUUAAUCUUAUGCCCAGCAAAUGUGCUGAGCUCUCUCAUUCAUUAUAAUACUGUAUUUGUAAAUUCUCUUGGAUUUUCUGGAUAAAUAAUCAUAUUGUUUAUGAAAAAUACGAAUUUUAUUUCUUCCUUUCCAAACUUUAUGUCAUUUAUUUCCUU